AGUUCGGAUCGUAGGCUGCAACCCGCCUGCGUGAAGUCGGAAUCGCUAGUAAUCGCGGAUCAGCAUGCCGCGGUGAAUACGUUCCCGGGCCUUGUACACACCGCCCGUCACACCAUGAGAGUCGGGAACACCCGAAGUCCGUAGCCUAACCGCAAGGAGGGCGCGGCCGAAGGUGGGUUCGAUAAUUGGGGUGAAGUCGUAACAAGGUAUC
rnacentral:rRNA from 1 species